rnacentral:rRNA from 1 species
UAUACCGUGAAACUGCGAAUGGCUCAUUAAAUCAGUUAUCGUUUAUUUGAUAGUACCUUACUACUUGGAUAACCGUGGUAAUUCUAGAGCUAAUACAUGCUAAAAACCCCAACUUCGGGAGGGGUGUAUUUAUUAGAUAAAAAACCAAUGCCCUCCGGGGCUCUUUGGUGAUUCAUGAUAACUUAACGGAUCGCAUGGCCUUGCGCCGGCGACGGUUCAUUCAAAUUUCUGCCCUAUCAACUUUCGAUGGUAAGGUAUUGGCUUACCAUGGUUUCAACGGGUAACGGGGAAUUAGGGUUCGAUUCCGGAGAGGGAGCCUGAGAAACGGCUACCACAUCCAAGGAAGGCAGCAGGCGCGCAAAUUACCCAAUCCCGACACGGGGAGGUAGUGACAAUAAAUACUGAUACAGGGCUCUUUUGGGUCUUGUAAUCGGAAUGAGUACAAUUUAAACCCCUUAACGAGGAACAAUUGGAGGGCAAGUCUGGUGCCAGCAGCCGCGGUAAUUCCAGCUCCAAUAGCGUAUAUUAAAGUUGUUGCAGUUAAAAAGCUCGUAGUUGAACCUUGGGCCUGGCUGGCCGGUCCGCCUCACCGCGUGUACUGGUCCGGCCGGGCCUUUCCUUCUGGAGAGCCGCAUGCCCUUCACUGGGUGUGUCGGGGAACCAGGACUUUUACUUUGAAAAAAUUAGAGUGUUCAAAGCAGGCCUUUGCUCGAAUACGUUAGCAUGGAAUAAUAGAAUAGGACGUGCGGUCCUAUUUUGUUGGUUUCUAGGACCGCCGUAAUGAUUAAUAGGGAUAGUCGGGGGCAUCAGUAUUCAAUUGUCAGAGGUGAAAUUCUUGGAUUUAUUGAAGACUAACUACUGCGAAAGCAUUUGCCAAGGAUGUUUUCAUUAAUCAGUGAACGAAAGUUAGGGGAUCGAAGACGAUCAGAUACCGUCGUAGUCUUAACCGUAAACUAUGCCGACUAGGGAUCGGGCGAUGAUUCUAUCUUGUCUCGCUCGGCACCUUACGAGAAAUCAAAG